rnacentral:lncRNA from 1 species
CACGUCUUGUGGUUGAAAUUAAUGAUAGAGAAAAUGAAAGUUAUUGACAGGUAAAGACCUGUAAGUUUUUGCUAGCAUCAUUUAUGUUGUUACCUGUUGAGAUGAUGGUAAAAUCAUCAGAAAAUUGAAUAAUGGACGUAUGGGGGUCAUUUAUUUGAUGCAGUCUUAUGGUGUACAGAUUGAAAAGUAGAGGUGAGAGACAGGAGCCUUGAGGCAACCCACCAUUGACUUCUCCACUGUAGUUAUCCAGUUUUAGGAAUCUAGAUGAAAAG